AUUUUCAUCAUGUCCUUGACUUGAGCUCAGGAACUCAGCUUUCCUUCUGAGUUAAGUUAAAACUGUAAUUAAUGGGGAAAAUUGUUACCUACCAUGCCUUCAGCUUCUGGAAAAAUACCAAGGAUUGUUCCAUACCUGAAAAUGGAGUUAACAUCUCUAUGAUGGUGGUGUGUGUGUUUCAAGAGGAAUCAAAAGUCAUUGAUGUGGAAACUGAAGUGGAGAUAAAUUGUUACUUGCCCUGGAACACAGAGCUAAUGCUUGUCUGAGGAGGACCAAUGUUAUCAUGAGGGUGAUAUCCUUACUUGCACUUGAAUUGGAUUUAAAUGAGGAAAAGCUGUGCAAAGUCAGUAGACUCAUUUUCUCCUCUAGAGACACUGGAUUGCAAUGGCAAGACAUAAAUCAAGAUGACUGGGUAUAACUCAGGAUUCAGUGGGAGAUCUUGGCCUUUUUAUAAAGUCUUUCCCAAAUCCCAGUUUGUCCGAGGCAAGACCCAUUCAGUGAUUUAAGAUAAAUCAUUGAUUUACCUUAGUAAGGUAAGACCUGAGGCAAAAGAUGGCCAGGUUUACCUUCACAAAAGAAUCAGUCUUGGCGUGGAGGGGGGGAAGAUCUCAGAGUUUCUGGCCAGAACAGAAACAGUUGUUAUUUAUACUCAUGCCAUCAAAACUCAAACAAUGAGUAAGUGAAAUUUUAUUAAAACCCAUUAUAUGGCUAUAUAUGUAAAAUCUUUUGCUAUUAGUGCAAACAAACCUUAAUUGUUGCUAAGUGUCUGGCCAACUUAGCACUUCAGCAGUAACUUGCUGAUUGUUCUGCCCUUCAGUAUCUUCAGAACCAUUAAUCUACAAUUCUAAAUUUAAAUCCGUAGAAGGCUUGGACUGUGCAGGCCACCAUUUUCACCACUCCUUCUCAGUUGGUCAUAUUGCCCACACCUGGGCCAAACAUCAGAAUGACCCAGUCACAACUGACAUUUGUUCUGGUGCCUGCUAUCACCAUAACCUGUACCCUUGCUAUACUAACUCUCCACAGUGCUCUAUGUUACUUCUGUGGACUUUUAAAAACUUGCCAGCCCUGGGAAUCACCUCACCUGGAUAACAUUGUCAUUCUGUGGGCACACCUGCAACCUUCUUUGUGGUUCAAUGAAUUUUAAGGCUCAGUUCCAAGCUGUGGGAAGAUGGAGUCCAGGGUUAUAACCCCAAUAUUGUAAAUAGUUUUUAAAGCCAACAUUCCAUCUGAGCUCAUCCUUGUGUGUGAAUGGAUUGAUUUACAAUGAUUGGCAGCCACCAUUCAGAUAUUUUAACAAAGCAGAUAGAAUCUUGUAUAUAUGGCAUCAACUCAAGACAAAGUUUAACAUUAAAUGAAAAGAAACUGCUACCUGACUAUGAAAAUGAAUUAAAUCAGAAUUAGUUUUUAUUCUCCUGCUACAAGGUCUUAUUCACUUUGGAUGAAUAAGCAAGUUACUAUUUUUAAUACUGUGCCAAUCUGCCCCAAAUCUCUCAAGGGUGAUAAAUUUGGGAAGGCAUGAAAGAGAGGGCGAACAACAAAGGAGAACAGUUUGUAUCCAUGGGCAUGCUAUUUUUGGACCAGACAUCUGAGUCAUUCUCACACUAAUUUAGAUAGUUCUAAGGCUCUUAUGACUAUGGAUCUCAAGACUUCCUACAAACAGCAGCGAUAAUAAAUAUUGCUUUCCACCUGAGACAUUCAAAGAUUAUCACAUAUAUUUAAUCUUAGUUUCCCCUGAAAUACAUAGCAGAUAAGUAGUCUUAUUUUUAUAGAUUGAGCAGAAACUAGAGGGUCUAUAUGAUUCAUCCUCCAUACAUUUGGAAUUGUGGAAGUAAGGUUUUAAGAACAAAGCAUUAAUGAAAUUUCUGGAAUCUAGCACUCUGGAUUCUGAAAUAGUACUACAGAAAACUAGGUACCAUUUUAAAAUUUUUUCAAAAUGUGAUCCAGUUUAUAAACAUGAUUAUAUUCUAUUUAAAGAAUAAAUGAAAGACUUACGGAAAGAGUACAUAGAGGAUAAUUAUUAUAUGUUUACCUAGCAAUUUACCUUUUUGAAAGUUAUUCAUUAUUUCAUCUGAUUCUCCUGAUAACCCUGUGUCAGCAAGGAGAAAUGGUAUUAUUGCCAUGUUACAGAUGAGGAAACUGAGGUUAAGGGAGGAUAAAUAAUUUAUCAAAGGUUACAGGACAGUGAUAGAGCCAGAUCUGAUUCUUGUUCUAAUGUUUUUCCCACUACACAAAUAUCUCUUGUAAUCUUCAAAUACCUAUUGAUGGUAUGACAGGGUGGGCCCGGACAAGCCUACAGUAUGUUGUGCAUAAGACAUGAAUUUAUCUAACCAAGACUUCAUUUUUCAGGAGAUUGGUACCUGAAAUGUUAGAUGAUUGCAUCAUAAGCAUAGGCCAGUAGAGCCAGGAAGAAGGAAUGGCAGAAAGAGAAAUGAGAUUGAAAAAACACAUGGAAGGCUUGCCUACAAAAAAAAAGGGGAACAAAGGACCAUGUAGACAAUUUUCUGGAACUGAGAAUAAAGGAACGGAGAGAUAACUAUCUUCUAUAGUUAAUAUAAAAGCUUGUUGGCUGCUGAGAAAAGCAGAGAGAGGCACAAUAUGGUGGAAUUGUCCCCUCACUCCAUCUGGCCACCCAAAAGAGACUUUCCUUGCUUCUGUGCAUGAAUCUUUCCCCACUAGUUACUAAUAGAGAACAUUGAUUC